GCGAGCGAGACCGGCUGCGCAUCUGAGCGUUGGCCUGCUCGGCGACCUGUCUGCCUGUUUUUCUAUUCUUGGAAUAAGCCUGGUCUGUCGGGCUCCCGGUGAAUUCUCGCAUUCGUUCUGAGCUUCGACACGGCACCACUGCACUAUUGGACUACGGCAAGCAAGAAGACAGUCCACGGACCAGCGGCCUGUUACCAACCACUUUCAAUGCCUCGCCGUCAUUGUUGGUUAGCAAGAGCAAACGAGUUUUCAUUGAUCCACGCACACCAACAGGGACGCCUUCCGGGCAGAUCACACCGCCUCAGAGUGCUUCCUCUCCAGAGUGGAGUUCACCGGCUUCGGAACUGCACAGACAGCUGAGCGAUACGCAUACAAAAGCCUCUUCGAUCCAGCCACAGUUCUCGUCAGGUAUGAGCAUCGGGUACGACCAGAACCCUGCAGCCCUCGACUCUACGAGCGAGCCAUGGAUUAGGCGACAGGCACUGGCAGUCCAAAGAGCUAUCAUGUCGCGCCCCCCUUGGAACUCCUCGGACAGACGAAACUUUGGUGAUGCUCCGCGGAUCGUAAGUGUCCUUGCUGUACCUACGGCAAAAAAAAAAAAUGCUAGGCUGAUAACGCCAGAGCUGCGACCGGCUUAAACCUUUCUACCGCAUUUCUAACACUGAAGAGAGGCAUAACCCCGCACAACCCCAAACGAACUUCGACUUGGAGCACUUACUUCACUCCGCCG